rnacentral:rRNA from 2 species
UGGGGAAUAUUGCACAAUGGGCGAAAGCCUGAUGCAGCGACGCCGCGUGAGCGAAGAAGUAUUUCGGUAUGUAAAGCUCUAUCAGCAGGGAAGAAAAUGACGGUACCUGACUAAGAAGCCCCGGCUAACUACGUGCCAGCAGCCGCGGUAAUACGUAGGGGGCAAGCGUUAUCCGGAUUUACUGGGUGUAAAGGGAGCGUAGACGGCAGGGCAAGUCCGAUGUGAAAACCCGGGGCUCAACCGCGGGAUUGCAUUGGAAACUGCUCGGCUCGAGUACUGGAGGGGUAAGCGGAAUUCCUAGUGUAGCGGUGAAAUGCGUAGAUAUUAGGAGGAACACCGGCGGCGAAGGCGGCUUACUGGACAGUAACUGACGUUGAGGCUCGAAAGCGUGGGGAGCAAACAGG